rnacentral:lncRNA from 1 species
UAGACUAUCAUAUCCAAAGCUUGAAUUACUUUCUUUGUGAUUUUUUUUCUUUUUUUCUUCUUUUUUUUUGCAUUUUUUGAGAUGUGACUUUUUCCAAAUGGAGGCACUUACCCCCAUGACAUUUUUUUCUUAUAGAUCUCAUCCAGACUCCUCCCGCCUAUUUUAGUUUUGUAACAACUUAGGAAAAUUUAUUAGGGUAGACACAACAUACACUCUAUUCCAACAUAGAACAAAAUGAUGGAAG